ACCGCCCAAUCAGGCGCUCAGUUGGAGAGGACAGGAGAGGAGGGCGUGGCUUCCGGCGUUUGGCGGGAUCUUUGUCUCUUCCUGGCGUUGGCACAGGAACUUGGGAUCCGUCUCCUCUUUCGCCUCCUCCACUUUGGGAGCCCCGGGCUACUCUUUCACAGCCCCUGUUGCCCUGUGAUCUGUACGUCCUUGGGGACUCAGAGUUAAGAUGCCAGGACAUCCUGGAAGCUGGGAAAUGUUAGCAUUUCAUCAUAUCAAUGUGAAGAUUUCUUCCAGACCAUGGCUGGAGAAGGAAAGAAGGUGUGUUUUGCCUGAUUCAGCGACUAUAGAGAGAACCAAGUUCUGCAGGCCUGUCACCUAAGUCUCAGGUGGGAUUGUGACAUACAUCUCUGCCCAGCUCCUGAGUGUUUUAGCUCUGUUUCCUGUGUCCAGCUCACAGAUGGGAUUCUGAUAUAUCACUGAAGCCAGCACCUAAGUUAUGUGACUCUUAUCUCCUGCCUUGGUGCUGCCCACAGGGGACAUUGGGACAUAUCACUUGGCCUUGCACCUAGGAUUUGUUUGGAAGGAGAUUGUGAUACAUUGGUGGGUCCAACUUCUCAGUGACAUUACUCUGUUGACUUUGCUCUGCAAGCAGAAAGCACUGUGACACAUUAUUGGGCCCAAACCAAGGUUCUUCCUGCAGUGGAAAUUGUGAUGUAUCACUGGGCUUAACACCAAAGUGACAUUGAUUUUUUGCCUUGGUUCUUCCCUCAGAAGACAUUGUAACAUAUUGCUGGGCUCAGCACCAAAACGAUGUGGAUUUCCUGUCUGGACCCUGCAUACAGGAGUCCCUGUGACAUAUCUCUUGACUCAUCAACUAUUUGAUGUGACUCUCCUCUGUUCCCUGAGCUUUGCCUUUAGGAAAGCAUCAGCCUGCGCUCCAGAGUCAGCCACCCACCCCUGCACAGACAAGGAGAGGUCUCAUUAAGCUUCAGCACAGUCUGGGACCAUAGCUUUUUUUGUAACGAUUUGUUCGGCAUGAGGCCCACUCACAAGGGCCCUUCGUGACUGGACUCAAGGAAAACGAAAAGGCCAACUUGUUUUUGCGAUUUUCUGUUGUUUUUCAAUAACUAUUUCUCAGAAACAGUGCUGGAUGAAUUCCACAAGGGGUUCACACAACCCGUUCCAGGACUUAGUGACCAUUGUUUCUGUCCAUGUUCAUUUAGUUCAAAUUUAAUAUUUAACUUUUCCUCCUCAUUCAGCCUCAAUUUGACACUGAAUCAUAGGAAAAUAUUUUUACAGAUAUGGGGGAAGGCACAACUGGUAUAGAUUACAGAUAAAGCAGAGGAGAAUUAAAAGCACAAUUAAUAGAAACCACACCUACCACGGCCAACGCCAAUGCCAGUUUGACAGCCAGUCCAUGAUGGGGUCCUGACAGGUAGAUUCUGUUUUACUUGUCCUUGCAUGUCUUGGGCAAGGAGAGUAAUAUUGUGAGAACUGUCAGGGAUAUACACACAACAUUCAGUAUGCAGCAAAGUUCAAAGCCCUCCUUGGGCUGUGGUAAACAUACCUAAUGCCAUUCGAUUUUGCAACACAACAGUGCACAGCUGAACAAGUUCUUCUGGUAACAACAGAAGUCCAGUGCUACUAUCUUAGGAGCUUUUUCUACAUGUAGACUUAAUAUUUUAAUUUGUUGCUGAAGCAGGAUUGUACCAGGGGCAAGGGAGAAUACCGUGAUAGGUUUCCACCACCAGGGAGUCUGUCACGUUCAUAACCAGCUAUCUUUGUAAGCAUCUAGAUUACUGGGGAGGAGAAUAUUAGCCUGGAUGGUGAAUGGAAUUAAUGGCACCCCCAAGUGAAUCUCCCCAUCCAAUAAGGGGGCAGGUACGGCCACCCAUAGGGUCUGCAUACCCAGAGGGCCACCCAGGAGACAGUAAUGGUUAUACCACAAUUAUAGUGUAUUUAAAUGUAAUUAAAGUAGCAAAGGAAGUCCAGGUUGGAUUGCAAGUGUUGUUGUUUUGGCCCCAUUGGUAGUGACAGAGCCAUUCAGAAAUAUUGGCAAGGACAACUCUCCAAGGUAGUCCAUUUCCUGUGGCCUCUGGCAAUUUGAUGCAUAGCCAGCAUUGACUGUGGUUGGCUUCUGUUGCAGUGGUGGCUGCCCAGUUGAUGAACUCAUUCUCCACCUCAGACACGAUGACCCAGGUACUGAUUACUACUAGACAGGUUAUUCUCUGUAACAACAAAACUGAAGGGGAACAUGAUAUUGUUUUUCAUUUUUAGGAAAUUGUACUACCCUUUUAUUUUCUGCUCCCAUAGCUACAAGGUCACCCACCUUAGGGGCAGAAUCUGAUGGAGGCUGUAUCCAUAUUUUCGCUCCAGGAUUUAAGCUACCUAUACCAGUGGAUCUUAAUUUCCCAGUUCUGUAAGUAGCCUCUGUUGGGGCAGAGAUUUCCUCAGGGGUUAAUUGUUAACAAGGUACCAGGUACCACUGACAAUUGAGCAAUCCGAAUCUGUAGUCUUGUAACAAAAGAAUGUGGAGUGGUAUUGUGUAAAGUGAACUUUAACUCUUCCCGGUAAUCAUUAUCAAUUAUACCACCAUACAUUAUAAUGUGUCCCAUUGCCAGGCUUGAAAUUGUUGUAAUCCAUUCACCCACAUUCAAGUUUGCAUUUAUGCUGGAAAUUUUGGCCUGUUGAUCUGCCUGCUGAUUAGUCUGUCAAGAGAAUGCAGAGAUGCAUGAGAAUCAAUAUGGAAAACAGCAAUAAUAGUAAUGUGCCUCAGGAUUCAGGUAUCUUCCUAGUAUUGUUUUCUCCAAACCUCUUUAUUCGUAAUUCACCAUUUGUUUCAUUGCCAUUCGGGCAACUAGGUAGUAAGACUAUUUUCUGCUGACCAACAGUUGGUAUACAAGCAACAAAUCGCUCUGGCCUCCUCCUGAAUAGUUCAGAGGAUGGCUUCUAGUUCAGCCAGCUGGCUGCUCACACCCCUCCCUUCAUCAGAAAUGCUUGUGUUUUUAACAGGAUUAUAAGCCAUGGCCUCCCAGCAUUGGGUCCCAUCAAUGUAUUUGGUGGAACCAUCAGUAACCAAGCGUGUUUCUGACCCUCUGGGCUUAGUUCUUUAAAGGAUUUGCCCCAUUGGGCAGGGGAGGUUUCCUUCCCUAUCUGCAGGACUUCCCUUGUGGUUUCCUGAGUUGGGAAGUUUUGCACAUCUUCAUGUAAAAAUGAUACCCCUUUUAGUUCUGGCUUAGCCUGGUCUUGUAUGUACCAUUUCCAUUUUAUGAUACUGCAUUCUUGAGUGUACCCUAUCCAAUGGGUUUUGAGGGAGCUCACGACCCAAGUCAUAAUAGGAAUUUGGGGCCUCAUAAAAACAUAAUGAUUAAAACAAACAUGUUCUCUUUCCUGUACAGCCCAGUAGCAGGCCAACAGCUGCUUCUCAAAGAGAUUAUAAGCUUUGCCAGCCUCUGGCAGCUUCUGGGUCUAAAACCCCAAAGGUAUUUUCUUCCCAUCUUGUUUCUACCUAAGGCUCCAAUUAGCAUGUUGAUCUAGGACAGUUACUUGCAGUUCUGUUGACCCAUCCUGUAAGGGCCAUAGAUCCAGGGCCAGUUGUUCAGCUUGUUUGGCUUGUUGAAAAGCCAGGCUGUCUUUCUCUCUCCAGUGAUAUUCAUAGUGUUUUCUAGUGACUGCAUGCAGAGGUUGUAAUAUGUUACCCUAGUGGGGAAUAUGAUGUCUCCAGAAUCCAAACAAGCCAAUACAAUUUUGGACCUCCUUUUCAGUGGUAGGGCUGCAAAUUCUAGUAUUUUAGCCUUAGCCUUUGGUAAAAUGGACUGUGUCCCUGCAUUCCAUAGGAUGCCAAGGAGCUUUACAGUUUGUGCAGGCCAUUGAAUUUUACUAGAGUUAACUUCCCAUCCUUGAGAUAGGAUUUGGGUUUUUACCCUCUUCAAGCCCUGAAAACUGACUAGUUCUUCAGUUUUACCCUGACUGGGCCGCUCGGACAGCUGCUUUUUCAGCAAUAGGCUGAUAGCUUUGAGCCUGAUCAGUUAAGACAGGCCUGGCAUGGGGCCAGGGCCAGUCUGGAAGUCAGAUUAAAAUUUUCCUUUUCCAGCUUAUAUUUCUCUUGUAGCAACCAGUCCCUAUAUUGACACUUUAACUUAUAAGCAGUAAGCAAGCAUCAUCAAUGCUGGGAAAUUCCCUUAGCAUUCCAAUUACCAGCUGGGAUUCCCUGCAGCACCUCACGCACAGCCAGUGAUUCAAAAUGCACUAAUAUAGAUUCCCAAUUUUCACAAAGGCCAGUUCCCUUGGACCAGUCAAUGACCAAAGGUAAGAACUGGAGGAGCUUCCAUCCGAAUACACGGGAAGUUCCUGAGCUCCCUGUCUGGUUCCUGCUGCCAAAAAAAAUGGCAAGCUUUCACUUUUGAAUCCUGUUCGUGACGCCAAAAAUGUGCUGUGCGGGAAACAUGCAAGGGGAGAAGAAAACACACACACACACACACACACACACAACAGCUUUAAGGGUAAACAAAUUUUAUCCCACUUAAAUGGCAAUGCAGAUAUAAUAAGCAAAUAUAUAAGCAAGUUGCAAUGGGACGGGGAGAAGGGAAAAGAUACAUAUAUAUAUUUACACUCACCAAACUAUGGAGGAUUCACCACCAGACUGCGAAGCAACAGCCUGGGCUCCAGAUUGGGCCCUCGUCCGUGCUCAGACGAGGAGAGAUCUCAGGAAGCUUUGGCACAGUCUGGAACCCCCGCUUUUUUUUGGAAUGAGUUAUUUGGCAUGAAGUCCAGUCAGGAAGGCUCUUCACCACUGGGCUCAAGCAACACAAAAAGGUCAACUUUUUUUUUUGAUUGUCUAUUGUUUUUCAAUAACUAACAUAUAGGAAUAAAUUGAAAUAGAGAUAUAUCUGAAACAGCGCUGCAUGAAGGCUUCAAGGGGCUCACAAAACCUGUUCCGGGACUUGGUGACCAUUGUUUGAGUCCAUGUUCAAUUGAGUUGAAAUUUAAUAUUUAACUGUUACUCCACAAAGGGUCCGAAGUAAUUCCUUCAAAUGCAGGAAAUUAUGUAGCUACUUACAAACUAAAUUUCUCAACCAAAAUUCAUAAAUUGAGUACAGAGAUAAAAAAUAAAAUAAAAUCUAACUACAUCUGUC